UACAGAGGAUCCAAGCGUUAUCCGGAUUUAUUGGGUUAAAGGGUGCGUAGGCGGCCUGUUAAGUCAGGGGUGAAAGACGGUAGCUCAACUAUCGCAGUGCCCUUGAUACUGAUGGGCUUGAAUACACUAGAGGUAGGCGGAAUGUGACAAGUAGCGGUGAAAUGCAUAGAUAUGUCACAGAACACCGAUUGCGAAGGCAGCUUACUAUGGUGUCAUUGACGCUGAGGCACGAAAGCGUGGGGAUCAAACAGG
rnacentral:rRNA from 1 species